rnacentral:rRNA from 1 species
GAUGAACGCUGGCGGCGCGCCUAAUACAUGCAAGUCGAGCGAGAAGACGUAGCAAUACGUUUGUAAAGCGGCGAACGGGUGAGGAAUACAUGGGUAACCUACCCUAGAGUGGGGAAUAACUAGCCGAAAGGUUAGCUAAUACCGCGUACGCUCCUUGGACUUCGGUUCAGGGAGGAAAGCGAUACCGAGGGUAUCGCGCUCUUGGAUGGGCUCAUGUCCUAUCAGCUUGUUGGUGAGGUAACGGCUCACCAAGGCUUCGACGGGUAGCUGGUCUGAGAGGACGAUCAGCCACACUGGCACUGCGACACGGGCCAGACUCCUACGGGAGGCAGCAGUAAGGAAUAUUGCGCAAUGGGCGAAAGCCUGACGCAGCGACGCCGCGUGGGGGAGUGAAGGUCUU